GCGCAGAGAUUGGUGUUGUUCAAGAAACUUGUCUCGUACGCAAGGUUAUCCAGUUUGUCCGGUACUUCUCCGGUGAGCAUGUUUGACGAAAAGUUAAGCGUUUUGAACUUCAGGUUCCCGAUCUCCGGUGGGAUUUCGCCUGAGAGUUUGUUCUCCGACAGAUCAAGAUCGACCAAGCGUGGCAACAGCCCUAGAGCUCUAGGAAUCUUCCCGGAAAGUUUGUUUUUUGACAGACUCAACGUCACCAACGACUUCCAUGAGAUUAUUUCCUCCGGCAACUCGCCGGAGAGAUUGUUCGAAUCGAGAAAGAUUGAUUUGAGUUUCGAAAGAGACGUUAACUCCGUUGGGAUAUCUCCGGAGAAGGCGUUAGCUCCGAGGUUGAGAAGCUCGAGUUGUGGUGAGAGACGGUUGAUGUCGGCGGGCAGUGUACAGUUGAAGUAGUUCUGGGAGAGGUCGAGAUGGCGAAGCUUGGUGCAGUUGUAGAGAACGGUAGGAAAGUCUCCGGAGAAUCGAUUAGACGACAAGUCGAGAGUUUCCAGGUUUGGGAAAUCGCAUAUAUUGGUCGGAACCGUUGCGGUGAUGAUCUUGUUCUUGAGACUUAUCCCGGUGACGUUUCCGGACACGCAGGUAAUCUCCGACCAGUCGCAAGGGGUAGAUGUGGUGUUCCAUAGGCGGAGAGACGGUGGGUCUCCGAGACCGCGUUUCAGGGUGAGGAGUGUUGACCGUUCGUCGAGCUGCGAAAUUACAGAAAAGGGCAGUGAAGUGAGAAAGAGAAGAGUUGAUUACACCCAAAGACACUUUUUGUCUUUCUUUUACAUUGAGAGACACUUUCCACAUUUGACACACUUUAUGGUGGGGCCUAGGCGUUUUUUUGACAAAUUUACCCUUAAUGAGAAGGAAAAAAUGUUUGUGGACAUGGAUACUUGAAAAUUUGUGGACAUAGGUACAUAAAUGUUUGUGGACAAAACAAGUUGUGGACGAACAAUUUUAACGAACAUAUCUCUUAUACACAUCUACAUCUUGUAUAAAUGAUAUUGAUUAUAUAGAACGAAUGAUAUCGUUUGAACCAAUAAAUUGUGGAUAUACAAAUUGUGGACAGGUUGAUAUUGAUUAUAUAGAAUGAAUAGUAUCGUUUGAACCAAUGAAUUGUGCAGUUUGUCCGGUACUUCUCCGGUGAGCAUGUUUGACGAAAAGUUAAGCGUUUUGAACUUCAGGUUCCCGAUCUCCGGUGGGAUUUCGCCUGAGAGUUUGUUCUCCGACAGAUCAAGAUCGACCAAGCGUGGCAACAGCCCUAGAGCUCUAGGAAUCUUCCCGGAAAGUUUGUUUUUUGACAGACUCAACGUCACCAACGAC
rnacentral:lncRNA from 1 species